UACGGAGGUCGCAAGCGUUGUUCGGAAUUACUGGGCGUAAAGCGCGUGUAGGCGGUCUGGUAAGUCGGUUGUGAAAUCCCCGGGCUCACCCGGGAACUGCAUCCGAAACUGCUGGGCUAGAGUUCCGGAGAGGAAGGCAGAAUUCCCAAUGUAGGGGUGAAAUCCGUAGAUAUUGGGAGGAAUACAAGUGGCGAAGGCGGCCUUCUGGACGGUGACUGACGCUGAGACGCGAAAGCGUGGGGAGCAAACAGG
rnacentral:rRNA from 1 species